rnacentral:misc_RNA from 1 species
GAUGAAGAACGUAGCGAAAUGCGAUAAGUAAUGCGAAUUGCAGAAUCCGUGAGUCAUCGAAUCUUUGAACGCAUAUUGUGCCCUUUGGUAUACCGAAGGGCAUGCCUGUUCGAGCGUCAUUAUCACCCCUCAAGCCCGGCUUGUUGUUGGACCAAGUCCCCGUCACACGGGACCGGUCCCAAAGAUAAUGACGGCGUCUGUUGGACCCUCGUACACUGAGCUUUCGGGCACGUACGUGGUUAAAGGACUCCAGACGACCGUUUAACCUUUGAGCGGCGAGUGCUCCGGCACUGGUCUCUCUUACUUUUUCAGGUUGACCUCGGAUCAGGUAGGAAUACCCGCUGAACUUAAGCAUAUCAAUAAGCGGAGGA